CGGGACGGGUGAGUAACGCGUGGGUAACCUGCCUUAUACAGGGGGAUAACAGUCAGAAAUGGCUGCUAAUACCGCAUAAGCGCACAGAGCUGCAUGGCUCAGUGUGAAAAACUCCGGUGGUAUAAGAUGGACCCGCGUUGGAUUAGCUUGUUGGUGGGGUAACGGCCUACCAAGCCGACGAUCAGUAGCCGACCUGAGAGGGUGACCGGCCACAUUGGGACUGAGACACGGUCCAA
rnacentral:rRNA from 1 species